CGGAGGGUGCAAGCGUUAUCCGGAUUUACUGGGUUUAAAGGGUGUGUAGGCGGACUUUUAAGUCAGCGGUGAAAUCUCCGGGCUCAACCCGGAAACUGCCAUUGAUACUAUUGGUCUUGAAUGUUGUUGAGGUGGGCGGAACGGGUCAUGUAGCGGUGAAAUGCAUAGAUAUGACCCGGAACACCGAUUGCGUAGGCAGCCCACUAAGCAACGAUUGACGCUGAGGCACGAAAGCGUGGGGAUCAAACAGGAUUAGAUACCCUGGUAGUCCACGCCCUAAACGAUGAUUACUCGACGUUGGCGAUACACCGAUCAGCGUCCAAGCGAAAGCAUUAAGUAAUCCACCUGGGAAGUACGUUCGCAAGAAUG
rnacentral:rRNA from 1 species